rnacentral:rRNA from 1 species
UGGGGAAUAUUGGACAAUGGGCGCAAGCCUGAUCCAGCCAUGCCGCGUGAGUGAUGAAGGCCUUAGGGUUGUAAACUGCUUUUGUACGGAACGAAAAGGUGCCUUCUAAUAAAGGGCGCUCAUGACGGUACCGUAAGAAUAAGCACCGGCUAACUACGUGCCAGCAGCCGCGGUAAUACGUAGGGUGCGAGCGUUAAUCGGAAUUACUGGGCGUAAAGCGUGCGCAGGCGGUUUUGUAAGACAGAGGUGAAAUCCCCGGGCUCAACCUGGGAACUGCCUUUGUGACUGCAAGGCUGGAGUGCGGCAGAGGGGGAUGGAAUUCCGCGUGUAGCAGUGAGAUGCGUAGAUAUGCGGAGGAACACCGAUGGCGAAGGCAAUCCCCUGGGCCUGCACUGACGCUCAUGCACGAAAGCGUGGGGAGCAAACA